AACGAACGCUGGCGGCAUGCCUAACACAUGCAAGUCGAACGAGACCUUCGGGUCUAGUGGCGCACGGGUGCGUAACGCGUGGGAACCUGCCCUUAGAUUCGGAAUAACUCCCCGAAAGGGGUGCUAAUACCGGAUAAUGUCUUCGGACCAAAGAUUUAUCGCCUUUGGAUGGGCCCGCGUUGGAUUAGCUAGUUGGUAGGGUAAAAGCCUACCAAGGCGACGAUCCAUAGCUGGUCUGAGAGGAUGAUCAGCCACACUGGGACUGAGACACGGCCCAGACUCCUACGGGAGGCAGCAGUGGGGAAUAUUGGACAAUGGGCGAAAGCCUGAUCCAGCAAUGCCGCGUGAGUGAUGAAGGCCUUAGGGUUGUAAAGCUCUUUUACCCGGGAUGAUAAUGACAGUACUGGGAGAAUAAGCUCCGGCUAACUCCGUG
rnacentral:rRNA from 1 species